rnacentral:rRNA from 1 species
UACGUAGGUGGCAAGCGUUAUCCGGAUUUAUUGGGCGUAAAGGGAACGCAGGCGGUCUUUUAAGUCUGAUGUGAAAGCCUUCGGCUUAACCGGAGUAGUGCAUGGAAACUGGGAGACUUGAGUGCAGAAGAGGAGAGUGGAACUCCAUGUGUAGCGGUGAAAUGCGUAGAUAUAUGGAAGAACACCAGUGGCGAAAGCGGCUCUCUGGUCUGUAACUGACGCUGAGGUUCGAAAGCGUGGGUAGCAAACAGG